GCAGCCGCCGCGGUAAUACGAAGGGGGCUAGCGUUGCUCGGAAUGACUGGGCGUAAAGGGCGCGUAGGCGGUUGGUACAGUCAGAUGUGAAAUUCCUGGGCUUAACCUGAGAAUUGCUUUUAAGACUGUCGAGCUAGAAUCCAGAAGAGGGUAGUGGAAUUCCGAGUGUAGAGGUGAAAUUCAUAGAUAUUCGCAAGAACACCAGUGGCGAAGGCGGCUCACUGGCCCGAUACUGACGCUGAGGUGCGAAAGCGUGGGGAGCAAACAGGAUUAGAGACCCCGGUAGUCCCUGUCUCUUAUAC
rnacentral:rRNA from 1 species